rnacentral:rRNA from 1 species
CCUACGGGGGGCAGCAGUGAGGAAUAUUGGUCAAUGGGCGCGAGCCUGAACCAGCCAAGUCGCGUGAAGGAUGACUGCCCUACGGGUUGUAAACUUCUUUUAUAAAGGAAUAAAGUGAUGCACGUGUGCCUUUUUGUAUGUACUUUAUGAAUAAGGAUCGGCUAACUCCGUGCCAGCAGCCGCGGUAAUACGGAGGAGCCGAGCGUUAUCCUGAUUUAUUGGGUUUAAAGGGAGCGUAGAUGGGUUGUUAAGUCAGUUGUGAAAGCUUGCGGCUCAACCGUAAAAGUGCAAUUGAUACUGGCAGUCUUGAGUACAGUUGAGGUAGGCGGAAUUCGUGGUGUAGCGGUGAAAUGCUUAGAUAUCACGAAGAACUCCGAUUGCGAAGGCAGCUUACUAAACUGCAACUGACAUUGAUGCUCGAAAGUGUGGGUAUCAAACAGGAUUAGAUACCCGUGUAGUC